UACAGAGGUCCCAAGCGUUGUUCGGAUUCACUGGGCGUAAAGGGUGCGUAGGUGGCCGGGUAAGUCUGAGGUGAAAUCUCCAAGCUCAACUUGGAAACUGCCUCGGAUACUAUCCGGCUCGAGGAUCGGAGGGGAGACUGGAAUACUUGGUGUAGCAGUGAAAUGCGUAGAUAUCAAGUGGAACACCAGUGGCGAAGGCGAGUCUCUGGACGAUUCCUGACGC
rnacentral:rRNA from 1 species